GUCUAUGGCCAUACCACCCUGAACAUGCCCGAUCUCGUCUGAUCUCGGAAGCUAAGCAGGGUCGGGCCAGGUUAGUACUUGGAUGGGAGAAAAAAUGCAAGUGAGACUACAAAAGAAGUCAGGUUCCAUGGUAC
rnacentral:rRNA from 1 species